AUACAGUGCAUCAGAAGGGACAGUACACACCAUCUUUCAUUCCCACCAUUCUUUGUGAAGAGGAAUCCAAAUGUUCUUUGGCCUGAUCGAGUUCUUAUGGGUGCCUUGAGCCAUCCUAGGAGGCAUCCCAAGUAACAACAUUAAGAACGUAUAAAUGUUUGAACUGUGCAGACUUCUUGUUGUGAGAAAAAAAGCCUGCAGCCAAUGAGAUAGAAAUGGAGAGAAGGGCAAUAGCAGCUUGCACACGUCAAGGAUCUGCAGCGCAUGAAACCCCUUAAACUGAAGAUGAUGUUCCUGAAGCCUAGAGAUGUCAGCACUCGCAGUCAGCCGCUUUAUCAUCCAUUGCUCCAUUAACCUCAUCCACCUGGUCAACACAAUUCAAACAUACCAGAUACAGACUCAGUUAAAACAGAUAUGGGUGCAAGUCAUGACACUUUUACAGAUUAAAGAUGUCCGAGAUUCACGAUGAAUGCUGUUUGAAGAAGAAUGAACAGAAUCACAUUUUAAUUUAAUCUCACUGCCAAUGUGGACUUAAAGAGGACGGGCUCUGUUAUGACAACUGUAUUUUUAAGUAACAGAGAUAAGGGUGUUAUUGGAAUCAUUUCAAUAAAAUAUGGGAGUACCGGUACAUACCAGUUUGAUAUCUUGAUUAGACUGGGACUUAAACUUAAACAAAAACGAUAGAUAUUGGACCUCUCUAAUACACAUUAUAAACAUCUCAUGUCUUAAGUCAAUAACAAAGCUGUAAUAAGGCGAUAUUUAGUGUAAUUAACACUUAGGGCUAUUCUCCUAAAACAUAUAACCACCGGGUUUGGCAGAUUUUUAAUAAUAUAUGGUUGGGCUUUUUUGCUAAUUUGCACCCCAAAAGGCACAUUUGCUUUUGUAUGGGGUUGGCAUAAAAACUUAAUAAAUGCCUUCCCUCCAGUGGUUAUAUUUUUAAAUGGACAAAAUAUCAAACUGGUAUGUACCUUAUCAACAUUUUUAGCUGGACUAUUUGAAUAAUAAGGAGGGUUAUACCACUCGCCUCAGCAUCUGCUUUGGCUUUAGCGUCCGGUUAAAGUUUAAGACCAAGUUGGGAUUUUCACUCAUAGGGAUUUUCACUCAUAACUGCAAAACCCUUCAUUAAAGUCACUUAAUACUCCAUACAGUUGUUCAGGGUCAUUACAUAAUGAGGUUAAUACUUCAAUAGCCUUCAUUCAAUGGACUUAAUACCUUGCACAAUUAAUGAUGAACAUCUUACAAUAAGGUGACAUAACUCCAUUUUAACUAAAUACAAAUUAUUGCCCUUUUUUCAUUUUUAUUUCUUAUGUCAGGCACAUUUAUAUAUUCUUAACAGGGUUUUUGAAAGCUAAUUGUUUGGGCGGGCUGGUGGAAGGGUCUUCAAAGUCACCUUAUGUGUAAAAUAAUUUUAGCUAGGUUUGACAUAUAGUGACCAAACUUCGUAUGUAGGAAG